CCUAGCGGCCGACUUAGAACCGGUGCGGACCCGGGCCCCCGACCGUUUAAACAGUGCGCGGCGAAGGCCUGCGGCGGGGGUUGACACGACGUGACUUCUGCCCAGUGCUCUGAAGGUCGAAGUGAAGAAAUGCAGUGGAGCAAGCGCGGGUAUUGUUCUGAUGCCCUUGCAAAAAUAUGGUCCAGCUUCAAGAAGAUUCAUGAAAAGAACUUUUGACAAAUACCGGUUUCUGGUCACCCUGAGAUCAUAAAACUAAAGAAUGAAUUGCCAGAACUAAUGAAAAAGCUGCAUUUGAAUAGAACAAAAAGAAACAACAUGGAACUGAAUGAGCUAAGGACAAUGAUGACCAUUUUUAAUGACUCUUGUUCAAAGCAUUGUGUUGAUCCCCUCAUGUUUGCUCCUCCAGAUUGAAGGAAACUUUGUCUCUAGAGAUUUUAUUAAAUUGUUUUGUAAACAAAUUAUUUAUCUUUUCACCCUACCUGUAACCCUCCAGAGUUCAGAAACUCUCAGGCUCACACUCACAACAUUGAGGUCAAGAGUCAUGCUCUCUACUGACUGAGCAGGCCAGGUGCCCCUGGAAUCUCAUCCUUAAGACACACGCAUAGACUCAAGAUCAGACAGCUUGGAGAAACAGAUUGACUUUCUGGAGCCAAUAAAGCCCCUUGGAAAAUGUUGGCCUGAUACCCUCUUCCAGAGGUCCCCACAGCCUUACCAGGGAUGACGUCAGUGACCAUGUCUGUCUACCUGGAGAGGAAGAAAAUAUUCCAGAUUGCUGAACCCUGGUUUUCCACACUGUGGAUGACAGGACCCCCUCCAACCUGACCCAGGAACUCCCUUACUCUGAGCCAAGGACAGGGGCUUUUGUUUUUAAGUUGUGGUUAAAAAUAGACAUCACCUACAAUGGAGUGGUUUAGCCAUUUCCAAGCCUAGAAUUCAGCAGUAUUAGACCCAACAUAGGGCUCGAACUCACGACCCUGACUGAGAUCAAGAGUUGAGUGCUCUUCUGACUGAGCUGGCCAGGUGCUCCUUCCAUUUCAUUUUUUCAAGAACCCUGGGAUCACGGCUCAGAGUCACCAUUUGUCCGGUGAGGCCCCACCCCUCCAUGCGGAGGUGACAUCUGUCAAACUGGUUCAUGUUUGUCCAUCUUCCUUCUUCCUUUUAGUAGACAGAAGGUGGCUUGUGAAACAGCCAGUGACUAUGUUGAAUGAGACUGAGGAUUUCCCUUGGGAAGUGGGUGUGAGAGGGAGGACAGGUUGAUGGAGAACCAGUAAACUGUUGGUGUUGCUUUAGAGGAAAGAGUGUGCUUUCUGGGCCCUCACCCA